CCGAGUUUACAACUCCCAAACCCAAUGUGAACGUUACCAAACUGUUGCCUCGGCGGGGUCACGCCCCGGGUGCGUCGCAGCCCCGGAACCAGGCGCCCGCCGGAGGAACCAACCAAACUCUUUCUGUAGUCCCCUCGCGGACGUAUUUCUUACAGCUCUGAGCAAAAAUUCAAAAUGAAUCAAAACUUUCAACAACGGAUCUCUUGGUUCUGGCAUCGAUGAAGAACGCAGCGAAAUGCGAUAAGUAAUGUGAAUUGCAGAAUUCAGUGAAUCAUCGAAUCUUUGAACGCACAUUGCGCCCGCCAGUAUUCUGGCGGGCAUGCCUGUCCGAGCGUCAUUUCAACCCUCGAACCCCUCCGGGGGAUCGGCGUUGGGGAUCGGGACCCCUCACACGGGUGCCGGCCCCUAAAUACAGUGGCGGUCUCGCCGCAGCCUCUCCUGCGCAGUAGUUUGCACAACUCGCACCGGGAGCGCGGCGCGUCCACGUCCGUAAAACACCCAACUUUCUGAAAUGUUGACCUCGGAUCAGGUAGGAAUACCCGCUGAACUUAAGCAUAUCAA
rnacentral:rRNA from 1 species